rnacentral:rRNA from 1 species
CCUACGGGAGGCAGCAGUGGGGAAUUUUGGACAAUGGGCGAAAGCCUGAUCCAGCCAUUCCGCGUGAGUGAAGAAGGCCUUCGGGUUGUAAAGCUCUUUCGCAAGGGAAGAAAACUUAGAUACUAAUAUUAUCUGAGGUUGACGGUACCUUGAUAAGAAGCACCGGCUAACUACGUGCCAGCAGCCGCGGUAAUACGUAGGGUGCGAGCGUUAAUCGGAAUUACUGGGCGUAAAGCGUGCGCAGGCGGUUUUGUAAGUCAGAUGUGAAAUCCCCGAGCUCAACUUGGGAACUGCGUUUGAAACUACAAGACUAGAAUAUGUCAGAGGGGGGUAGAAUUCCACGUGUAGCAGUGAAAUGCGUAGAGAUGUGGAGGAAUACCAAUGGCGAAGGCAGCCCCCUGGGAUAAUAUUGACGCUCAUGCACGAAAGCGUGGGGAGCAAACAGGAUUAGAUACCCUGGUAGUCCACGCCCUAAACGAUGUCUACUAGUUGUUGGUGGAGUAAAAUCCAUGAGUAACGCAGCUAACGCGUGAAGUAGACCGCCUGGGGAGUACGGUCGCAAGAUUAAAACUCAAAUGAAAUUGACGGNNGAGAGAGCGAGACGACGACGAGGAGGAGG